GUGUCUGUAGCUCAGUGGAUAGAGUGUGUUGUUUUUACGCAGGAGGUCGUGGGUUCGAAUCCUACCUGAUGUG
rnacentral:tRNA from 1 species